rnacentral:lncRNA from 1 species
GUACAGAGAAAUUUUUACAGCCGAAGUUGCUCCCUUGAAUUCUACACACGAUCAUCCUCAGAAAUCCUGUCAUGUAAUGUGCGCAUGCCGGAGUCUUUUCAAAUCGGGGCGAUCUGAAGAGACUUUUCAAAAUUUCCAUCGGAGCAUUACUCUAGGUACGGUGCAAUAAUGGCCCUAUCAGCUGUCAGCCACUUUUGGCUGCCUGCUGUGGUGAGUGGGACACGUGACGAACAUGGGUCGG